UACGUAGGGCGCAAGCGUUAUCCGGAAUUAUUGGGCGUAAAGAGCUCGUAGGCGGUUUGUCGCGUCUGCCGUGAAAGUCCGGGGCUUAACUCCGGAUCUGCGGUGGGUACGGGCAGACUAGAGUGAUGUAGGGGAGACUGGAAUUCCUGGUGUAGCGGUGAAAUGAGCAGAUAUCAGGAGGAACACCGGUGGCGAAGGCGGGUCUCUGGGCCGAUACUGACGCUGAGGAGCGAAAGCGUGGGGAGCAAACAGG
rnacentral:rRNA from 1 species